rnacentral:rRNA from 1 species
UACGUAGGCAGCGAGCGUUGUUCGGAGUUACUGGGCGUAAAGGGUGUGUAGGCGGUUUGGUAGGUCCGCUGUGAAAACUCGAGGCUCAACCUCGAGACGCCGGUGGAAACCAUCAGACUAGAGUCCGGAAGAGGAGAGUGGAAUUCCUGGUGUAGCGGUGAAAUGCGCAGAUAUCAGGAAGAACACCCGUGGCUAAGGCGGCUCUCUAGUACGGUACUGACGCUGAGACGCGAAAGCGUGGGGAGCGAACAGG